rnacentral:rRNA from 1 species
GGGAUAACGUAGGGAAACUUACACUAAUACCGCAUACGACCUACGGGUGAAAGUGGGGGACCGCAAGGCCUCACGCGAUUGAAUGAGCCGAUGUCGGAUUAGCUAGUUGGCGGGGUAAAGGCCCACCAAGGNGACGAUCCGUAGCUGGUCUGAGAGGAUGAUCAGCCACACUGGAACUGAGACACGGUCCAGACUCCUACGGGAGGCAGCAGUGGGGAAUAUUGGACAAUGGGCGCAAGCCUGAUCCAGCCAUACCGCGUGAGUGAAGAAGGCCCUCGGGUUGUAAAGCUCUUUUGUUGGGAAAGAAAUCCCAUUGGUUAAUACCCGGUGGGGAUGACGGUACCCAAAGAAUAAGCACCGGCUAACUUCGUGCCAGCAGCCGCGGUAAUACGAAGGGUGCAAGCGUUACUCGGAAUUACUGGGCGUAAAGCGUGCGUAGGUGGUUGUUUAAGUCUGUCGUGAAAGCCCUGGGCUCAACCUGGGAAUU